AAAAGUUUUAUUUAUCUUGAUGCUAAAACAGGUUUAGUCAGAGAGCUGACAUGCCUUAAAUAAAUUAGUGGAAUUAAUUCCUACUUUUUGAUACAACAGAAAACCAACGCUGGCACCGGAGAUCAACCCAUUGCAUCCUGUUCUGAGUUAAUAACGAUAUGGAUAUUGUUUAGAUUUUUUUUUUCCCCCUUCCAGACGCAAUGCAACGAGGGCUAGCCCGAGCCACAGAGAUUCUGCCUGUUUAUUAGAGGCUGGAAAAAAAAAAAGGAUCAAGACCUGGUUGUAACACAGCUAACUCUGACAGCUAAAGAACCAGUUUGGCGUCUGGUUUGUCUGUUGUUUUACUGCUGACCUUCAAAUCAACUUUAACCCAUGACUUCUUCAGGCAUAUAUCAUGACAAGAGCCUGUUUAACACAAAUGGUGCCCAUCUUAAGGGGAAGAAAGUCAAGAUUUCCUUUUUUUUUUAUGAAGAAUUUGGUUUUCCACCCUGCUUUUCUCCGUCACCACAGGUGAAAUCCUUCCUAGCAGCUGGCUUAUGAAAUAUUGUGAUGGGAGGCCUUAAUAAGCCGAAAGCACCCUCAGCGGGAGAUAAAUGUAUGCAAAUGAGAUGCACAAACAAAGGAGCCCGGACAGAGAAAUAUCUGCAAAUCCAGCAAAAAAAGCUGCCUGAAGCUAGAAGAUGAACAGCUUUGAUAAAAUGGUGAAUGUGGAUUCCGGGUUUCGAAGAAGAAUGGAUACUUGGAUGGAAAAUUGGAAUAAUAUCAGAAUCAGUGUCAAAGGAUUGUUGGAAUAGGACACUCCCACUCUAAACAAUACGUACACAUGAAAUUGUUGACACUGUCUGAUAACAGAACCAAAAUAAAUCUGCACUUUAUGUACAAA